rnacentral:rRNA from 1 species
CUACGGGCGGCACCAGUGAGGAAUAUUGGUCAAUGGGCGAGAGCCUGAACCAGCCAUGCCGCGUGCAGGAUGACGGCCCUAUGGGUUGUAAACUGCUUUUGUACGGGAAGAAUAGGCGCCACGUGUGGCGAUUUGACGGUACCGUACGAAUAAGCACCGGCUAACUCCGUGCCAGCAGCCGCGGUAAUACGGAGGGUGCAGGCGUUAUCCGGAUUUAUUGGGUUUAAAGGGUGCGUAGGCGGGCUUAUAAGUCAGUGGUGAAAUCUCGUGGCUCAACCAUGAAAUUGCCAUUGAUACUGUAGGCCUUGAGUAUAGUUGAGGUAGGCGGAAUGUGUCAUGUAGCGGUGAAAUGCUUAGAUAUGACCCAGAACGCCAAUUGCGUAGGCAGCUUGCUAAACUAUUACUGACGCUGAUGCACGAAAGCGUGGGUAGCGAACAGGAUUAGAUACCCUCGUAGUC